rnacentral:rRNA from 1 species
CGCAUCUGUGCAUGCAGCAUAUCAAUAAGCGGAGGAAAAGAAACUAACAAGGAUUCCCUUAGUAACGGCGAGUGAAGCGGGAAGAGCUCAAAUUUGAAAUCUUAAAGGUUUUCCCUUGACGAAUUGUAGUUUAAAGAAGUGUUUUCUGUUGAAGUUUUGGUAAAAGUUCUUUGGAAUAGGACAUCAUAGAGGGUGAGAAUCCCGUAUUUGACCAUUUACUUUCAGCUGUGUGAUACACUUUCAAAGAGUCGGAUUGUUUGGGAAUGCAGUCCAAAAUGGGUGGUAAAUUUCAUCUAAAGCUAAAUAUUGGCGAGAGACCGAUAGCGAACAAGUACCGUGAGGGAAAGAUGAAAAGAACUUUGAAAAGAGAGUUAAACAGUACGUGAAAUUGUCAAAAGGGAAGCGUUUGACACCAGUGUUGUUUUCUCGAAAAUCAAUUAAAAAGAGUUAGAUUUUGUUGUGUAUUGACCUUAACAGCUUGCAUUUCAAUUUUCUUGCUUUUUUUAAUGCACUUUUCGUUUAACAAGUCAACAUCAGUUUCUUUUGUUGUAAAAAGGUCAUUGGAAGGUGGCUUUCUUUUCGGAGAAAGUGUUUAUAGCCUUUGACUCCUGCAAUCGGAGAGACUGAGGUCUGCAGCGUAGAUCCUUCGGGGUUAGAUACAUUUGUGCUAAGUUAUAGCUUUUUAUAGACAACUUGUUGACUAUGAUUAGUCUUGUAGCUUACUCGCUUAUGCUAUUUUACCUACGCUUAGGAUGUUGAUGUGAUACUGCGAGC